rnacentral:rRNA from 5 species
GGGUGAAGUCGUAACAAGGUAACCGUAGGGGAACCUGCGGUUGGAUCACCUCCUUACCUUAAAGAA